ensembl:snRNA U6 U6 spliceosomal RNA
GUGCUUGCUUUAACAGCACAUAUAGUAAAAUUGGAAUGAUACAGAGAAGAUUAGCAUGGCCCCUGUGCAAGGAUGACAUGCAAAUUCCUGAAGCAUUCCAUUUUUCU